GUGCUCACUUCAGCAGCACAUAUACUACAAAAUCGGAAUGAUACAGACAUUAGCAUGGCCCUUUUUCAAGGAUGACACACAAAUUCAUGAAGCUUUCCAUAUUUUU